rnacentral:rRNA from 1 species
UAAGGAAUAUUGGUCAAUGGACGGAAGUCUGAACCAGCCAUGCCGCGUGCAGGAAGACGGCCCUACGGGUUGUAAACUGCUUUUGCAGGGGAAUAAACCUUCGUAUGUAUACGAAGCUGAAUGUACCUUGAGAAUAAGGAUCGGCUAACUCCGUGCCAGCAGCCGCGGUAAUACGGAGGAUCCAAGCGUUAUCCGGAUUUAUUGGGUUUAAAGGGUGCGUAGGCGGCCUAUUAAGUCAGGGGUGAAAGACGGUAGCUUAACUAUCGCAGUGCCUUUGAUACUGAUGGGCUUGAAUGUACUUGAGGUAGGCGGAAUGUGACAAGUAGCGGUGAAAUGCAUAGAUAUGUCACAGAACACCAAUUGCGAAGGCAGCUUACUAAAGUAUGAUUGACGCUGAGGCACGAAAGCGUGGGGAUCAAACA